AGGUGGAGAGCUGAUCGGUGCCCAAGAGACCAAGAGAGGAUAUUGAGAAGUGCCACAAACGUGUCUCCUCACCCCCAAGGGAGAAGCAGCACUGGGCAGGGCCGCUGAGGGCUGGUGGGGACAAGGCAGAAGGAGCCGGACAGAUGUCUAGAUCUUGCCUUGGCCAGCCUCCACACCUUUGCCUGGGCCAUGCCUGCCGCUUGGAAUUUUCUCUCUUCCAAGUCUCCAGUUGAAAGCCUGCUUGGUCGGUAGAAUAAAGGAAUGACUGAAUCCCGAAUCGUUCUGAGGGUGGGACUGGGCCUUCCCAGGCUCCAGGAUGGAGAUGCAGUCCCUCGGGAGUGAAAGAAAUCGGCCUGAAGACAGCAAAACAAGUUUUCCAGGGUUGAAAACCAUGAGUUCCAGAAUAAUGAAAUUAACGAAAAGAUGGG